AGUCGAACGCUGGCGGCAGGCCUAACACAUGCAAGUCGAACGAACCCUUCGGGUUAGUGGCGGACGGGUGAGUAACACGUGGGAACGUACCUUAGGUUCGGAACAACACAGGGAAACUUGUGCUAAUGCCGAAUGUGCCCUUCGGGGGAAAGAUUUAUCGCCUUUAGAGCGGCCCGCGUCUGAUUAGCUUGUUGGUGAGGUAAAGGCUCACCAAGGCUACGAUCAGUAGCUGGUCUGAGAGGAUGAUCAGCCACACUGGGACUGAGACACGGCCCAGACUCCUACGGGAGGCAGCAGUGGGGAAUCUUGCGCAAUGGGCGAAAGCCUGACGCAGCCAUGCCGCGUGAAUGAUGAAGGUCUUAGGAUUGUAAAAUUCUUUCACCGGGGAAGAUAAUGACGGUACCCGGAGAAGAAGCCCCGGCUAACUUCGUGCCAGCAGCCGCGGUAAU
rnacentral:rRNA from 1 species